AGGGGUGAGCAAAACCGAACCGGAACCGAAAAACCGAACCGAACCGUAUAAAUUCGGUCCGGUUCGGUUCCAAAUUUUUCGUAAUUUCGGUCCGUUCGGUUCUUCGGUCCGGACCGAAUUAAAUUUCGGUUCGGUCCGGUUCUUUCAAGAAAAAUUCGGUUCCGGACCGAAUAGACCGAACUUUUUAGAUUAAUAUUAAAUAUAAUAUAUGUUGAUAACAGAUACUGUCAAAUUUUGAUAUUUCCUUCGAUGCACAGAUGACUAUAUCGCGAUAUACAAUCAGCCAAGCUAGGUUUGCUGUGGAUCGUGAAUUUGUCAUUUAUAACAAGAUUUUUGUUUUAGUUUCCUGAUCUUAUCCAGAGCUUGUAAACUGAAAUAGCCGCAGCCUGUAGUUCAGUAGUAGACUAGUGUCAAACAAAUAACUCUAGCUUCUUUAUAUAUUGCCGCAGUAGCUGAUUACAUGAGACCAGUAGAGUAGGCAGCUUAAAUGUUACAGAGAGUCCAUAGUUUCACUUGCCUUUUCAUUUCUUUUGCAAAAAAAUUCGGUUCUGAAAGCAAGAACCGAACCGAACCGAAUUUUUUCGGUUCGGUUCCGGUUCGGUCCAUAAGUAAAUUUCGGUUCGGUUCGGUCCGGAAAAAAAUUCUUAUUCGGUUUUCGGUUCUUUCGGUUCGGUUCGGUUCUGGACCGAACCGACCGAAUGCUCAGCCCUA
rnacentral:lncRNA from 1 species